GAUUUUUGAUCAAGUUACUAAGGGCAUGCGGGGGAUGCCUUGGCACUGGUAGCCGAUGAAGGACGUGACAAGCUGCGAUAAGCCUCGGUUAGCUGCAAAUAAGCUUUGAGCCGGGGGUUUCCGAAUGGGGCAACCUGGGCCGUUAAUACGGCUCCACUGGCGGCUGAAUACAUAGGUCGCCAGGGACAACGCAGGGAACUGAAACAUCUUAGUACCUGCAGGAACAGAAAACAACAGUGAUUCUCCUAGUAGCGGCGAGCGAACGGGGAACAGCCUAAACCGAUGAGCACGUUAAAGGCGGUGCCCGUUGUGCCAUCGGUGUAGUGGGGACAGAUUAGAGCGAAGUACCGAUAGCUCGGAAAGUUACAAACCGUCCAUCUAGUCGAAUAUCUCUGGAAAGAGAAGCCAUAGGAGGUGAUAGCCCUGUAGGCGAAAGGUGUGAUGGCUUUCUGGAUCUGUUUCCCAAGUAGCACGGGACACGAGGAAUCCUGUGUGAAUCUGUCAGGACCACCUGAUAAGGCUAAAUACUUACCAGUGACCGAUAGUGUACAAAGUACCGUGAGGGAAAGGUGAAAAGUACCCCGGGAGGGGAGUGAAAUAGUACCUGAAACCGUAUGCCUACAAGCUGUGGGAGGAGAGCUUCAGUCUUCGGACCGAAGCAAUCUGACCGCGUGCCUAUUGAAUAAUGAUCCGGCGACUUACUCUCUGUUGCAAGGUUAAGCAAAAUACUUGCGGAGCCGAAGCGAAAGCGAGUCUGAACAGGGCGUUCAGUAGCAGGGAGUAGACCCGAAGCCAGGUGAUCUAUGGAUGGCCAGGAUGAAAUCUCGGUAAAACGAGAUGGAGGUCCGAACCCACCAACGUUGAAAAGUUGGGGGAUGAGCUGUCCAUAGGGGUGAAAGGCCAAUCAAACCUGGCGAUAGCUGGUUCUUCCCGAAAUGUCUUUAGGGACAGCCUCAGGUUAGUGUAACGGAGGUAGAGCACUGAUUGGGCUAGGGGCCCUACAAGGUUACCAACCCCAUUCAAACUCCGAAUUCCGUCUACAUGUUGCCUGGGAGUGAGUCGGUGGGGGAUAAGCUUCAUCGGCGAGAGGGGAACACCCCAGACCACCAGCUAAAGUCCCCGAGAUGUGCUAAGUGACAAAGGAUGUGGAGUUGCUAAAACAGCUAGGAUGUUGGCUUAGAAGCAGCCAUUCAUUUAAAGAGUGCGUAAUAGCUCACUAGUCUAGGAAGUCCGCGCCGAUAAUUUGUGGGACUAUGCACAUCACUGAAGCUGUGGAAUUUACUUUAUGUAGAUUGGUAGGGAAGCAUUCUGCGGGCGCCGAAGGUGUAUCGUAAGGUAUGCUGGAGCGCGCAGAAGAGAUUAUGCCGGAACGAGUAGCGAUAAAACAGGCGAGAAACCUGUUCGCCGCAAGCCUAAGGUUUCCUGAGGAAGGUUAAUCCGCUCAGGGUUAGUCGGAACCUAAGCCGAGGCCGAAAGGCGUAGGUGAUGGAAAACAGGUUAAUAUUCCUGUACCAGGUGUGACGCGUUAUACCUAUGGAGUGACGCAGGAGUGAAGGCUAUCCGGGCGAUGGAUAUCCCGGUCUAAGCAUGUAGGGGGAGAGGGCAGGCAAAUCCACCCUCUCAUACUCCGAGAUGCUAUGGGGAGGCCGAAAGGCCGUAAACUAGCCUUAAUCAUACUGCCAAGAAAAGCUUCUAUGGAAGUUUCACAUCUGUCCGUACCGCAAACCGACACAGGUAGGCGAGGAGAGUAUCCUAAGGCGCUCGAGAUAACUCCCGUUAAGGAACUAGGCAAAAUGGCCCCGUAACUUCGGAAGAAGGGGUGCUCCGAGUAGGUUUAGCCCCGCGGUGAAGCCCAAAGGAGUCUCAGUAAAGUGGCCUGGAUGACUGUUUACUAAAAACACAUCUCUCUGCUAAGCCUUAUAAGGCGAUGUAUAGGGAGUGAUACCUGCCCGGUGCUGGAAGGUUAAGAGGAGGGGUCAGCCUCUUCGGAGGCGAAGCUCUGAAUCGAAGCCCCAGUAAACGGCGGCCGUAACUAUAACGGUCCUAAGGUAGCGAAAUUCCUUGUCGGGUAAGUUCCGACCUGCACGAAUGGUAUAACAAUUUGGGCACUGUCUCAACGGGAGACUCGGCGAAACUGUAGCAGCGGUGAAGAUGCCGUUUACGCGUAUCGGGACGGAAAGACCCCGUGAACCUUUACUACAACUUGACAUUGGAUUUUGGUACAAUAUGUGUAGGAUAGGUGGGAGACUUUGAAGCUGGCCCGCCAGGGUCGGUGGAGUCGUCGUUGAAAUACCACCCUUGUUCUAUCGGAAUUCUAACUAUGACCCUUGAAUCAGGGCAUAGGACAUUGUCAGGCGGGUAGUUUGACUGGGGCGGUUGCCUCCUAAAAUGUAACGGAGGCGUUCAAAGGUUCCCUCAAGCUGGUUGGUAAUCAGCUGCAGAGCGCAAGGGUAUAAGGGAGCUUAACUGCGAGACAGACAAGUCGAGCAGAUGCGAAAGCAGGACCUAGUGAUCCGGCGGUUUAGUGUGGAAUUGCCGUCGCUUAUCGGACAAAAGGUACUCCGGGGAUAACAGGCUGAUCUCCUCCGAGAGUUCACAUCGACGAGGGGGUUUGGCACCUCGAUGUCGGCUCAUCACAUCCUGGGGCUGGAGAAGGUCCCAAGGGUUUGGCUGUUCGCCAAUUAAAGUGGUACGUGAGCUGGGUUUAGAACGUCGUGAGACAGUUCGGUCCCUAUCUGAUACGCGCGUAGGAGAUUUGAGGGAAGUUGACCUUAGUACGAGAGGACCGGGUUGAGCGGACCGCCGGUGUACCUGUUGUUCCGCCAGGGGCAGCGCAGGGUAGCUGUGUCCGUAAGGGAUAAGUGCUGAAAGCAUCUAAGUACCAAGCCCAUCCCAAGACUAGAUCUCCCAGCCGUUUAGGCUCUGAAGGACCCUGGAAGAUUACCAGGUUGAUAGGUCACAGAUGGAAGGUCAGUAAUGACUUAAGUCGAGUGAUACUAAUCGUCCGUGCGACUUGAUCAUAAAAUUUUUAUU
rnacentral:rRNA from 1 species